rnacentral:lncRNA from 1 species
GGAGAAAAUGCCUGAAAAAUUCUAAUAGUAUUCUGGGAGAUGCCUUUACAUGUCAACACAGUAGAGGAAAAAUCAACGGUGACGAGAGAAGAAGAGCUUGGGUAAUCUCAAACACGAUAUUUAAUCGAUUUUGUCAUUUUCUGUGUCUUUCUGUCCCUUCUUG